GCUCGUGUCGUGUAGAUGUGGUUAAGUCCCGCAACGAGCGCAACCCUCGACCUUAGUUGCCAGCAUUCAGUUGGGCACUCUAAGGUGACUGCCGGCUAAAAGUCGGAGGAAGGUGGGGAGUGACGUCAAAUCAUCAUGCCCCUUAUGACCUGGGCUACACACGUGCUACAAUGGGCGGUACAAAGGGUCGCGAACCCGCGAGGGGGAGCCAAUCCCAAAAAGCCGCUCUCAGUUCGGAUUGCAGGCUGCAACUCGCCUGCAUGAAGCCGGAAUCGCUAGUAAUCGCGGAUCAGCAUGCCGCGGUGAAUACGUUCCCGGGCCUU
rnacentral:rRNA from 1 species